AUGGGCCUGGCCUCAGGGCGUCUCCACACGGGAGCUAGCGGUGGCUGCGAGUGCCUGCUGCUGGUCGUACACCGUUGUGACGGCGCGCUCCACUCCGUGGUUGUCAAAGUAGUGCACGGUGGCCAUGUGCCAGUGCCCACGUCCUCGGACGGCAGCGCCAGCGCAUUCACAGGGAAACAGGGUCGCACAUCACGAAGGGCGCCAUGCACAUGCCAUCUCGGGCUCCUGCGUCGCGGCACCAGCAGUCUCAGCACGGCUGCAUGGCUCGCUGGACCUGGUUUCGACAAUUGA
rnacentral:rRNA from 1 species